GAUGAACGCUGGCGGCGUGCUUAACACAUGCAAGUCGAACGGAAAGGCUCCUGCUUGCAGGGGUACUCGAGUGGCGAACGGGUGAGUAACACGGGGGUGAUCUGCCCUGCACUUCGGGAUAAGCCGGGGCAACUGGGUAUAAUACCGGAUAGGAGGAGGGGUUGGAUGCGGUUGUGGAAAGUUUUUCGGUGUUGGAUGAGCUCGCGGGCUAUCAGCUGGUUGGUGGGGUAAUGGCCUACCAAGGCGCGGACGGGUAGCCGGCCUGAGAGGGUGUACGGCCACAAUAGUACUGCGAGACGGAGCAGACUCCUACGGGAGGCAGCAGUGGGGAAUAUUGCACAACGGGGGCGAGUGUGUGGAAGCGGCGCUGGGUGGGUGAAGAAGGCCUUCGGGUUGUAAACUCCUUUCGCUAGGGACGAAGCGGAAGUGACGGUACCUGGAGAAGAAGCACCGGCUAACUACGUG
rnacentral:rRNA from 1 species